rnacentral:rRNA from 1 species
CCUACGGGAGGCAGCAGUGAGGAAUAUUGGUCAAUGGCCGAGAGGCUGAACCAGCCAAGUCGCGUGAGGGAAGAAUGUCCUAUGGAUUGUAAACCUCUUUUGUCAGGGAGCAAAGUCACCCACGUGUGGGUGUUGGAGAGUACCUGAAGAAAAAGCAUCGGCUAACUCCGUGCCAGCAGCCGCGGUAAUACGGAGGAUCCGAGCGUUAUCCGGAUUUAUUGGGUUUAAAGGGAGCGUAGAUGGGUUGUUAAGUCAGUUGUGAAAGUUUGCGGCUCAACCGUAAAAUUGCAAUUGAUACUGGCAGUCUUGAGUACAGUUGAGGUAGGCGGAAUGCGUGGUGUAGCGGUGAAAUGCAUAGAUAUCACGCAGAACUCCGAUUGCGAAGGCAGCAUACCGGCGCUCAACUGACGCUCAUGCACGAAAGUGUGGGUAUCGAACAGGAUUAGAUACCCUUGUAGUC